UAGGGAAUCUUCCACAAUGGACGCAAGUCUGAUGGAGCAACGCCGCGUGAGUGAAGAAGGUUUUCGGACCGUAAAGCUCUGUUGUUGGUGAAGAAGGAUAGAGGUAGUAACUGGCCUUUAUUUGACGGUAAUCAACCAGAAAGUCACGGCUAACUACGUGCCAGCAGCCGCGGUAAUACGUAGGUGGCAAGCGUUGUCCGGAUUUAUUGGGCGUAAAGCGAGCGCAGGCGGAAGAAUAAGUCUGAUGUGAAAGCCCUCGGCUUAACCGAGGAAUUGCAUCGGAAACUGUUUUCUUGAGUGCAGAAGAGGAGAGUAGAACUCCAUGUGUAGCGGUGGAAUGCGUAGAUAUAUGGAAGAAUACCAGUGGCGAAGGCGGCUCUCUGGUCUGCAACUGACGCUGAGGCUCGAAAGCAUGGGUAGCGAACAGGAUUAGAUACCCUGGUAGUCCAUGCCGUAAAACGAUGAGUGCUAAGUGUUGGGA
rnacentral:rRNA from 1 species